GACGAACGCUGGCGGCGUGCUUAACACAUGCAAGUCGAACGGAAAGGCUCUGCUUUUGUGGGGUGCUCGAGUGGCGAACGGGUGAGUAACACGUGAGUAACCUGCCCUUGACUUUGGGAUAACUUCAGGAAACUGGGGCUAAUACCGGAUAGGAGCUCCUGCUGCAUGGUGGGGGUUGGAAAGUUUCGGCGGUUGGGGAUGGACUCGCGGCUUAUCAGCUUGUUGGCGGGGUAGUGGCUUACCAAGGCUUUGACGGGUAGCCGGCCUGAGAGGGUGACCGGCCACAUUGGGACUGAGAUACGGCCCAGACUCCUACGGGAGGCAGCAGUGGGGAAUAUUGCACAGUGGGCGGAAGCCUGAUGCAGCAACGCCGCGUGCGGGAUGACGGCCUUCGGGUUGUAAACCGCUUUCGCCUGUGACGAAGCGUGAGUGACGGUAAUGGGUAAAGAAGCACCGGCUAACUACGUG
rnacentral:rRNA from 1 species